UACGUAGGGGGCUAGCGUUGUCCGGAAUCAUUGGGCGUAAAGCGCGUGUAGGCGGUCCGGUAAGUCCGCUGUGAAAGUCGGGGGCUCAACCCUCGAAUGCCGGUGGAUACUGUCGGGCUAGAGUGCGGAAGAGGCGAGUGGAAUUCCUGGUGUAGCGGUGAAAUGCGCAGAUAUCAGGAGGAACACCAAUUGCGAAGGCAGCUCGCUGGGACGUUACUGACACUGAGGAGCGAAAGCGUGGGUAGCAAACAGG
rnacentral:rRNA from 1 species